GACGAACGCUGGCGGCGUGCCUAAUACAUGCAAGUUGAGCGAUGAAGAUUGGUGCUUGCACCAAUUUGCAGAGCAGCGAACGGGUGAGUAACGCGUGGGGAAUCUGCCUUUGAGCGGGGGACAACAUUUGGAAACGAAUGCUAAUACCGCAUAAUAACUUUAAACAUAAGUUUUAAGUUUGAAAGAUGCAAUUGCAUCACUCAAAGAUGAUCCCGCGUUGUAUUAGCUAGUUGGUGAGGUAAAGGCUCACCAAGGCGAUGAUACAUAGCCGACCUGAGAGGGUGAUCGGCCACAUUGGGACUGAGACACGGCCCAAACUCCUACGGGAGGCAGCAGUAGGGAAUCUUCGGCAAAGGACGAAAGUCUGACCGAGCAACGCCGCGUGAGUGAAGAAGGUUUUCGGAUCGUAAAACUCUGUUGGUAGAGAAGAACGUUGGUGAGAGUGGAAAGCUCAUCAAGUGACGGUAACUACCCAGAAAGGGACGGCUAACUACGU
rnacentral:rRNA from 1 species